rnacentral:rRNA from 1 species
AAACUCAAAGGAAUUGACGGGGCCCGCACAAGCGGUGGAGCAUGUGGUUAAUUCGAAGCAACGCGAAGAACCUUACCAGGUCUUGACAUCCCCUGACAACCCAAGAGAUUGGGCGUCCCCUUCGGGGGACAGGGUGACAGGUGGUGCAUGGUUGUCGUCAGCUCGUGUCGUGAGAUGUUGGGUUAAGUCCCGCAACGAGCGCAACCCUCGCCUCUAGUUGCCAGCAUUCGGUUGGGCACUCUAGAGGGACUGCCGGCGACAAGUCGGAGGAAGGUGGGGAUGACGUCAAAUCAUCAUGCCCCUUAUGACCUGGGCUACACACGUGCUACAAUGGGCGGUACAAAGGGCUGCGAACCCGCGAGGGGGAGCGAAUCCCAAAAAGCCGCUCUCAGUUCGGAUUGCAGGCUGCAACUCGCCUGCAUGAAGCCGGAAUCGCUAGUAAUCGCGGAUCAGCAUGCCGCGGUCGAAUACGUUCCCGGGCCUU